AUUGAACGCUGGCGGCAGGCCUAACACAUGCAAGUCGAACGAGUGGCGGACGGGUGAGGAAUGUCUGGGAAACUGCCCGGUGGAGGGGGAUAACGACUGGAAACGGUAGCUAAUACCGCAUACGAUCGAAUGGGCCCAGGUGGGAUUAGCUAGUAGGUGGGGUAACGGCUCACCUAGGCGACGAUCCGUAACUGGUCUGAGAGGAUGACCAGUCACACUGGAACUGAGACACGGUCCAGACUCCUACGGGAGGCAGCAGUGGGGAAUAUUGCACAAUGGGCGCAAGCCUGAUGCAGCCAUGCCGCGUGUAUGAAGAAGGCCUUCGGGUUGUAAAGUACUUUCAGCGAGGAGGCGUUACUCGCAGAAGAAGCACCGGCUAACUCCGUGCCAGCAGCCGCGGUAAUUC
rnacentral:rRNA from 1 species